rnacentral:tRNA from 1 species
GCCCCCGUAGUCUAGUCUGGAUAGGACAGAGGCUUGCGGAGCCUCAAACCCGGGUUCAAAUCCCGGCGGGGGCG